GCGACCGCCAUUGUGCUCAAGUCGUCAGAACCAAGGCCUUCUGUCAGAGAACCGAGCAAGCGUCCCAGUCCUCGAAGGUGUGGACUGACUUGGGAAUGAUCAUGGGGCUCGAGGAGGACGUGAAGGAGCAUGUCCUGCACAAAAUCAGACAUACCGCGAAGAAGUAUGCCCAGACGAUGAUAAACGUGCAGCCGGCCGACAAGGACGACGACGAGCUGCUAGCUCUACUUGCCUAUGGUUGUGGAACAACCAUUGGCACCUUGGCGGAUCCGAGAAACGGGGUUCGUCAGGCAGGUGAGGAACUAUCGGUGGACGGUGUGGU